UACAGGGGGUGCAAACGUUGCUCGGAAUCAUUGGGCGUAAAGCGCACGUAGGCGGUCUGUUAUGUCGGAUGUGAAAGCCCUUGGCUUAACUGAGGAAGUGCAUCCGAAACUGGCAGGCUAGAGUACUAAAGAGGGUCGCGGAAUUCCCGGUGUAGAGGUAAAAUUCGUAGAUAUCGGGAGGAACACCGGUGGCGAAGGCGGCGACCUGGGUAGAUACUGACGCUGAGGUGCGAAAGCGUGGGGAGCAAACAGG
rnacentral:rRNA from 1 species